rnacentral:tRNA from 1 species
CGCCAGAUAGCUCAGUUGGUAGAGCGCCUGAAUAGAGAUUCAGGGGGCCCGGGUUCGAAUUCCGAUCUGGUCC